UACGAAGGGGGGCUAGCGUUGCUCGGAAUCACUGGGCGUAAAGGGUGCGUAGGCGGGUCUUUAAGUCAGGGGUGAAAUCCUGGAGCUCAACUCCAGAACUGCCUUUGAUACUGAGGAUCUUGAGUUCGGGAGAGGUGAGUGGAACUGCGAGUGUAGAGGUGAAAUUCGUAGAUAUUCGGAAGAACACCAGUGGCGAAGGCGACACACUGGGCCAUUACUGACGCUGAGGCGCGAAAGCGUGGGGAGCAAACAGG
rnacentral:rRNA from 1 species